rnacentral:rRNA from 1 species
AGUCAUAUGCUUGUCUCAAAGAUUAAGCCAUGCAUGUCUCAGUACAAGCCAAAUUAAGGUGAAACCGCGAAAGGCUCAUUAAAUCAGUUAUGGUUCCUUAGAUCGUACCCACACUUACUUGGAUAACUGUGGUAAUUCUAGAGCUAAUACAUGCAAACAGAGCUCCGACCGGAGACGGAAGGAGCGCUUUUAUUAGAUCAAAACCAAUCGGCGGCGGGUUCGCCCGUCGUCGUUCAACCUGGUGAAUCUGAAUAACUUUGUGCUGAUCGCACGGUCUAGCACCGGCGACGCAUCUUUCAAAUGUCUGCCUUAUCAACUGUCGAUGGUAGGUUCUGCGCCUACCAUGGUUGUAACGGGUAACGGGGAAUCAGGGUUCGAUUCCGGAGAGGGAGCCUGAGAAACGGCUACCACAUCCAAGGAAGGCAGCAGGCGCGCAAAUUACCCACUCCCGGCACGGGGAGGUAGUGACGAAAAAUAACGAUACGGGACUCAUCCGAGGCCCCGUAAUCGGAAUGAGUACACUCUAAAUCCUUUAACGAGGAUCAAUUGGAGGGCAAGUCUGGUGCCAGCAGCCGCGGUAAUUCCAGCUCCAAUAGCGUAU